rnacentral:lncRNA from 1 species
GAUGAUGCUUGUUAAUGCAUGCAAUUAAUAAUAUAUAGUUUCAAGUGUAACUUACUAUCCACCCCUGUGAUGAAAAUAGCUUCCGAUCCACCCCUGGAUAUUUCACGAUGUGAUGACAUUCUUGCAUUACCGUUGGUGUCACUUCUUACAUCAAUGGUGAUGGGGGUAUCUCCUCUAUCUGUGGAAGUUGUAUGAGACUCGGAAACUGAACUCCAACCCCAAACUCCCAUGGUGAAUAUGAUAUGGUCCUUCCAGUGCAAUGCUCAAACUCUGCAAGUUCGUACACUCUUAUAUUCUUCUAAUGGUCUUUCG